ACCUACGGGAGGCAGCAGUAGGGAAUUUUCGUCAAUGGGCGCAAGCCUGAACGAGCAAUGCCGCGUGAGCGAGGGAGGUCUUCGGAUCGUAAAGUUCUGUUGAAGGGGAAAAAGAGCGGAGAGAGGAAAUGGUCUCCGAUUGAUAUUACCCUUCGAGGAAGUCACGGCUAACUACGUGCCAGCAGCCGCGGUAAUACGUAGGUGGCGAGCGUUAUCCGGAAUGAUUGGGCGUAAAGGGUGCGUAGGCGGCCUGCUAAGUCUGGAGUGAAAGGUACCGGCUCAACCGGUACAGGCUCUGGAAACUG
rnacentral:rRNA from 1 species